AGAACAUUCAAAAUAUGACUAUAAACCAGCACUGACGUGCAGCGUGAACUUUUAUUUCUACAUUGGGUUCCAACCCUUCAGAAGCCUUGAUCUGAAUAAAAAAUGUCUCAAUUACAUUUUUUUAUUAUAUUAUAGGGUAUAUUGCCGUGGCUAUUUUCACUUUGUCUGAAAUUGUGUAACGCCCCAGGGAAACACAUUUCUGACGUGCAGAAACAACUCCUGCUCAGUUUAAUUCAUUUACCACAGAGCUCUGAAAUGGAUCAACAGGAGAAAAGAUUUUUGUUUUGGACAAAUAUUUUACUUUAAUUUGGCAAGGAUCAGAUUGUGAGCAGAAAUGAAAUCAAAAUCUUUGUGAAAACAUUUCAUGCAAAUGAAUAAAUAAGCAAGUGCCAAAGAGGCUUUGACUGACAGCAGACGAGCGCAGAGGGAAGCAGGAUGCAGGACGCAGGGCAAAGGACGAGGUAGGCAACAGUUACAUAUUUACAUAAAUAUUACACGGCUAUUACGAUAUGCCUGUAGCACGCCCAAAGGCAGUGCGUGCGUGUGUGGGUGUGUGCUACUUGUCACAGGCAAAUAUGUAGUUAAACAUGUGUGUGUGUGUGUGUGUGUGUUGUGUGUGUGUUUGGUCUGUGUAAAUAAAUGUAUGUUACUUUCUGUCAUGCAUUACAAUAAUAUGAAAAUUAUUUGAAAUGUAAUUUCAACUUAAUAAAUUUUCAUAAAAAAGGAGGCGUCUCCUCACAACCCAAUUGACAAACACUCACACACACACACACACACACACACACACACACACAGAUACGCAUACACACAGAGAGAUACCAGCAUGGCUAAGUGUUUAAACAGCGCCGUAGAAAGCAGUCGAGACGCCUGCAAGGGCUGCCUCAUUACGGAAGCCAGCGAUGGCGAACGACGAAGGAAAUGCUGAAAGGGAGACGGCGAGGAAGGCGCAGGACAAUGAGGACGCCGGUGAAAAUGGCGACGACAGGAAGUGAAGUUGUCGAAACUGCGUUCCCCUUGCCUCUGCCCGCUUGCCUUUUAUCCGCAUAUAACUUUUUAUGCUGCACAGCUAAAAGCGUGUGCGAUUGUCUCUGCGAGUGUGUGCGGGCGUGUGUGUGUGUGUGUGCGUGUGUGUGUGUGUGUGUACGCAGCAGGGUGGGCCAGAGCAAGGCUGGCAGAAGAGCUACUAUUUAAGACAGACCUAAAUGAAAGUGCGGCCUGCAGCUGUAGCUAAAAAUGAGAAGGCAAAACUGAAACUGCGAAUGGCAGUGGGUGUGGCAAUAAACUGGGCAUGGGCAAUGGGUGUGGGCGUGGUCCUAGGCCAGCUGUCGAAUGUAGACUAAAUCAAGUUAGCACACUGAAUGGCCAAUGAGCAAUGAAAACGUUCCCAUGGCUAUGCACUUUCACAAGUCAUUUUUUUGCGUGUGUGAGUGUGAGUGUACAUGUCAAAUCUCUUUCUCCGCCAAUUCGCCAACAUUUUUAUAUCAUCAAUUUGGGCUAGCGCCAAACUUUGCCAACUACUCUCGUGUUAUGUGGAAAAUAAGGAAAAAGGCAAAGCAUUCCACACACACACACACACACACACACACACACGCACACACACAACUUUGUGGCCAGUUGCCAGGAUGAGCUUUUGUUGGUGCAUUUGAAUUUUGUUCUAUGGGAUUGGCUUAUAAUAUGAAUGCACUUAAAUUAAAUUCCAUAUUUUUAUGUAGUUUUAAAACUUGAACCGUAAUAAAAUGUUCUCGACAUGAAAUACACAAAAGCCCCUCAG